rnacentral:rRNA from 1 species
AGUGAACGCUGGCGGUAGGCCUAACACAUGCAAGUCGAACGGCAGCACAGUAAGAGCUUGCUCUUACGGGUGGCGAGUGGCGGACGGGUGAGGAAUACAUCGGAAUCUACUUUUUCGUGGGGGAUAACGUAGGGAAACUUACGCUAAUACCGCAUACGACCUACGGGUGAGAGCAGGGGAUCUUCGGACCUUGCGCGAUUGAAUGAGCCGAUGUCGGAUUAACUAGUUGGCGGGGUAAAGGCCCACCAAGGCGACGAUCCGUAGCUGGUCUGAGAGGAUGAUCAGCCACACUGGAACUGAGACACGGUCCAGACUCCUACGGGAGGCAGCAGUGGGGAAUAUUGGACAAUGGGCGCAAGCCUGAUCCAGCCAUACCGCGUGGGUGAAGAAGGCCUUCGGGUUGUAAAGCCCUUUUGUUGGGAAAGAAAAGCAGCAGGUUAAUACCCCGCUGUUCUGACGGUACCCAAAGAAUAAGCACCGGCUAACUUCGUG